rnacentral:misc_RNA from 1 species
GAUGAAGAACGUAGCGAAAUGCGAUAAGUAAUGUGAAUUGGAGAAUUCAGUGAAUCAUCGAAUCUUUGAACGCACAUUGCGCCCGCCAGUAUUCUGGCGAGCAUGCCUGUUCGAGCGUCAUUUCAACCAUCAAGCCCCAGGCUUGUGUUGGAGCCCUGCGGCUGCCGCAGCCUCCCAAAACCAGUGGCGGGCUCGCUAUCACACCGAGUGCAGUAGUUUACUCUUCGCUCAGGGCGUGUGGCGGGUGCUAGCCGUGAAACCCCCAACUUCUCAAGGUUGACCUCGGAUCAGGUAGGAAUACCCGCUGAACUUAAGCAUAUCAAUAAGCGGAGGA